AGCUAUAGCAUCAGGGUUCCACCUCUUCCCAUUCCGAACAGAGAAGUUAAGCCUGAUCACGCCGAUGGUACUGCGUAACAGUGGGAGAGUAGGUAGCUGCCGUUU
rnacentral:rRNA from 1 species